rnacentral:rRNA from 1 species
AAAUAAAUUAUUAAGAGCACUUGAUGGAUGCCUUGGCGUUAAGAGGCGAUGAAGGACGUGGCAGGCUGCGAUAAGCUGCGGGGAAUUGUCAACAGGUUUUGAUCCGCAGAUUUCCGAAUGGGGAAACCCAACUAGUUAAACUAGUUAUUGUAUAUUAAAUCAAUAUGCAAAGCAAACUUGGUGAACUGAAAUAUCUAAGUAACCAAAGGAAAAGAAAUCAACUGAGAUUCUGUUAGUAGUGACGAGCGAAAGCGGAAAAGGCUAGUGGUUUAAGAAUAAGAAUUAGAAUACUCUGGAAAGAGUAACCAUAGAAGGUGAUAGUCCUGUAUAAGUAGAAAGUUUUUAA